rnacentral:rRNA from 1 species
GUCGAGCGGACAGAUGGGAGCUUGCUCCCUGAUAGUUAGCGGCGGACGGGUGAGUAACACGUGGGUAACCUGCCUGUAAGACUGGGAUAACUCCGGGAAACCGGGGCUAAUACCGGAUGGUUGUCUGAACCGCAUGGUUCAGACAUAAAAGGUGGCUUCGGCUACCACUUACAGAUGGACCCGCGGCGCAUUAGCUAGUUGGUGAGGUAACGGCUCACCAAGGCGACGAUGCGUAGCCGACCUGAGAGGGUGAUCGGCCACACUGGGACUGAGACACGGCCCAGACUCCUACGGGAGGCAGCAGUAGGGAAUCUUCCGCAAUGGACGAAAGUCUGACGGAGCAACGCCGCGUGAGUGAUGAAGGUUUUCGGAUCGUAAAGCUCUGUUGUUAGGGAAGAACAAGUGCCGUUCAAAUAGGGCGGCACCUUGACGGUACCUAACCAGAAAGCCACGGCUAACUACGUGCCAGCAGCCGCGGUAAUACGUAGGUGGCAAGCGUUGUCCGGAAUUAUUGGGCGUAAAGGGCUCGCAGGCGGUUUCUUAAGUCUGAUGUGAAAGCCCCCGGCUCAACCGGGGAGGGUCAUUGGAAACUGGGGAACUUGAGUGCAGAAGAGGAGAGUGGAAUUCCACGUGUAGCGGUGAAAUGCGUAGAGAUGUGGAGGAACACCAGUGGCGAAGGCGACUCUCUGGUCUGUAACUGACGCUGAGGAGCGAAAGCGUGGGGAGCGAACAGGAUUAGAUACCCUGGUAGUCCACGCCGUAAACGAUGAGUGCUAAGUG